rnacentral:lncRNA from 1 species
CCUGGGCUAUUUUUUUUUACAUGGUGGUUUUUCCUAGUUCAUUGACAGUGAUGACCGGUUCCCUACAGAGCUGGCCACCUUGCUGAGUGCACUGGAUGGCACACAGUGACAACAAAUGACACAGAAGCCUCUCUUCUCGAGGACUCGAGGAGUUAAAUAUCUGAUGGAGAAGAGAAGACAGGACCCAGGCACAAGCAGCGCAAUCUGUAUGAACAAAUACAAGAAUCACAUACUCCACAGUCCCAUGAGCCACGGGGAUAGAUAGCAAAGGGUUCCCCAGCAGCCCUGGCAGGCAGGUAGACAGCCACAGCUAUGCGGGCCCUUAGGUCAGCCCUCUCAGAUGAUCUGAAACCACUUCAGUCUGUCUGAAGCUCUCAUGAACAUUUCCUGUUAAGUAUUGUUUUCAAUAAUUUAUUCUGGAGGAGAUGUUGGCUCCCCUGGGAAUCACUUUGCAGCACAUCCCCUCCAGAGACCAGCUACAGACAUCAGGCGCCAGGAUAGAAGAGUCGCUCUGUGUAGACGGUGGACCAGGAAUAAGGUUGCCUCAAAAAAAUAAUAGCUGACAUCCGCCCCACCCUCCACUCUUCAAUCAAGCCAGUCAGGCAAUGAACCUUUUCACACCUGAGGGAUUAUUUUUGCUUUUGUCUGAUUCUGCUGUGUUAAAGGAAACAAGUGUUGAGAAAGGACUCAAUUAACUGAGCUUCAGGAUAAUCCAAGGUGAAGAAAAACAAGAGCUGACAAAGAAAAGAAAUGGUGCUGCUGGGUUAGGGUCUCCCCAACUGAGCUGGUCUCAGCAAGUGGCGUCCAUUCGUGGGAGCUUGAAUCCAGGUCGAAGGGUCACCGGAGCAAUGGUUGGAAUGGAAAACUAGCUGGAGGACACCCGAGUACUCUAAAAGCAAUCCCCAUGGCCAAAAUCAACAGCCAAUUUGGAUACCAUCAAGACACCUGAAACCUUAUCAUGAGCCAGAUGCCAAGGAAGAGAUUCGGGAGGAUCCUGAGGACCCCCCGGUUGCAGCCAUGUUGAGACUGAUGCUGAGGAGGACCCCAACUGUCACGAGCAACACCCGUCGACCACAGCCACCCACCUGGGGACAGAUCAAGAAGCUGUCACAGAUGGCGGAGGAAAGCGGAACAACCAGUCACAAUGAAUAAUUUAAUGGUAGCUAUGAUAGUGGUUAUCACCACUGCCGUGAGUAUUCCUACAAUAAGGGCUGGUAAUAACGCCUGGAUGCAAUCACUCUAUGACACAGUUACAUAUGCUUUCUGAUCUCAGUAUUUACCAUAAUAAAUCUGCUCCUAUAAUUGAGGCAUACCACCCUUAAAAACCUAUUUGUAAACAGGAUUGGACCCAGUUAGAAAAAAUGAACACAAUUGUUUAGGAAGAUUGCCUUGCAGAACAGGCAGAGAUGCUGCACAACGAUUCCUAUGGAAUCAUUAUUAAUUGGUCCCCUAAGGGGAUGUUUAGCUUGAAUUGCACCUCUCAGUCUGCGUGCCACAGUCACACUAUGUUUAGAUGAUCUGAACAAAACAGUCAGAUGGUAGAAAUGUUAAGAAGUACGGCAAAAGUUCCUAUUAUGUGGAACCAUGGCGGUAUAGUGGCACCUCAACCUCAAAUGAUAUGGCCUGCUCUAGGAGCUAAACAUAAGGAUUUGCGGAAACUAUUAAAUGCUCUUAAUAAGAUCAAAAUUUGGGAAAGAAUAAAAAAGCAUCUAGAAGGACACUCUACAAAAUUG